GUUUGACAUGCGAUCGCGCGUAAACAUUGGAUGCUAUGGCACAUUCAUGCCUUUUGUGCCACCCAAGCCCCGAAAUGCUCUGGCAUGUAUCUUCACAUACUAUGCCUACGCCUAGCCACAGCAGCUCCCUCAUGCAGAUUUCACAAGCCAAGAGGCCGUGGAGGCAAAUGCAGGCAGCCAGCACACCUCGAACAGCCACCUUGACUGCGGUUGUGUCUAGUCGCCAAGGAAGCAUUUGAGGGAAAGCGACAGGCAAUGGGAACAGCCACUUCACCAUGUAAACGAUACUCUUUCUCUCGGAUGACUCCUAUGCCUCGCCACGCCAGCUCAUCUGUGCAGACUCCACCAACAAAGAUGCCCCGGAGGCAUGUGCAGGUCAGAGGCAAGAAGCAGUGGCACUGGUGUCGACAUUCACCCAAUUUCUUUCUUUUUCUUACACUGAGGCAGCCAGCACACACCGAACAGCCACCUUGACUGCGGGUGUGUCAGCAGAUUCCUGUUGUACAUAUACUCAUAAUAAACUUCAGUAAACUUCAACUUGAUAAUAAACUUGAAGGCAAAUGGGACAUUGAUGCAUUGCUUUUGCUUUUUUGAACAUUUAGUGUGCACGUACAAUAUAUGUUAUACUUUGCAGUGCUACAGAGCGUAUUUUGAAGCUUCCCUCUAUAUUUUGCACCUUUAAUUACGUAUGUGUUGUGUGGCCCUCAAUGCAGUUCAUGUUGCAGCAGCUGCUUUGUCUGUGUAUUGCACAUUAGAUUAAGCUUGUGAUAUUCACAUGUGCAAAAAGCCUAUGCUUCUCUCACAUAUACAAAAUAAGGUUCCAUGUAGUUCUCAGUGUUACAAUAACAAAUAAAAGUAAA